rnacentral:rRNA from 1 species
GAUGAACGCUGGCGGCGUGCCUAAUACAUGCAAGUCGAGCGAACAGACGAGGAGCUUGCUCCUCUGACGUUAGCGGCGGACGGGUGAGUAACACGUGGAUAACCUACCUAUAAGACUGGGAUAACUUCGGGAAACCGGAGCUAAUACCGGAUAAUAUAUUGAAUCGCAUGGUUCAAUAGUGAAAGAAGCUUUUGCUGUCACUUAUAGAUGGAUCCGCGCCGCAUUAGCUAGUUGGUAAGGUAACGGCUUACCAAGGCAACGAUGCGUAGCCGACCUGAGAGCGUGAUCGGCCACACUGUAACUGAGGCACGUUCCAGACUCCUACGGGAGGCAGCAGUAGGGAAUCUUCCGGAAUGGGGGAGAGCUGGACGGAGCAACGCCGCGUGAGUGAUGAAGGACUUCGGAUCGUAAAACUCUGUUAUUAGGGAAGAACGAAUGUGUAAUUAACUAUGCACGUCUUGACGGUACCUAAUCAGAAAGCCACGGCUAACUACGUG